rnacentral:sRNA from 1 species
UAAACAGUUUCGGGGAUAUAAUAUCCCCCU